CCAACAGGGACAUCUGGGGAGGUCGCUCUCCCACAGCUCUGUCCGUGUGGCAUGUGGGAGCGUAGGCCUUCGGGCUCCGUGAUGUAGAGUCCCGUUCCACGCUGUUGGAGAGCAAGCCGGGCCCUCGGGUCUGCAGCCUGCAUAUUCCUACUGCUUCUCUGAGUCUUCGGACGGUGACUGAGGAGAUAAACCAUGCAGGAGACAUUG